rnacentral:tRNA from 1 species
GGCUAGAUAACAUAAUGGCAAUGUAUUGGAUUGCAAAUCCUGUAAUGGCGGUUCGAUUCCGCCUCUAGCCU